GUUAGGUACUAUGAUUUCCAUCUCCAUUUUACAGACGAGGGAACUGAGCUGUCAAAACUAAGUGACUUGAUUGAGGCCAUGCAGCUGGCGAGGGGAGGACCAGGAUCUGAACCCAACUGGGUCUCCCAAGCCUGGGCCACUGAACCAUUUCACCUCUUGGAAAAACUUAAUGGUCAGAGUGGCCCACCCAGUCCAUGGACAGCAUGGAGGAUAAACUGCUUCCCUAGAAAUCCUCUCCAGCAUUCUUGCCACCACGACUUUGGGACACAUUGACCAUGAGGAGGAGCUGGUCAAUGAUGGACAGGAGUCCAGAUUAGCAGAGAUGUGGUAAUAAGGACACCGAUGCCUAAAUACUUGAAAUAUCCAAUAGGAAGCAUUCCACCUUUGUGCAAAUGCGAACCACAUCUCACCAAGUUCAGGCCAAGGCUGCCACCGGUGACGUUUUGGAAAAGAAAAAAAAAAGCGGGGGGAGAGGAGAGAAACAGAGAAGCAAGGAAUGCAGAAGAGAGCAGAGGCCACAAAAACAGCAGCAACGUGUCCUGUGUAUUCUGUUUCCUUGUAAAACUAUGAAGCAUGUUAAGGAGAUACUUCAUUUUUUGAGGAUUCAUACUCUUGUUUAUAUUAUAAUAAAAACAACCCAUGUUCUUUCUAAAAAUUUAGGCAAUGCCUUCGUGCACAUAAAAGUAAAACAAAAUCACCUGUAAUCCUACCACACGCAGAUCAGCACUUGCUAAUCUUUUCACAGGGAUCCUAAGAAUAUCCUAUUCUCUAUAGAAUAUAGUUGAUUUAUGUUACCUAAUAACUAACUGUUAACCAUUUUAAAAUUCUUCAGUUUUACAUUAUGCUAGAAAAAAGGAGCCGUCACUCUACGUGACAUUUCUGUAUAUUGGUUUAUUCAUUCAAUAAACAUUUUUUAAGUACCUACUAU
rnacentral:lncRNA from 1 species